rnacentral:lncRNA from 1 species
CCCAUCUCCCUGCACCGCUCCCUUUCCCCAGCCGCCCCCGUGGCUGCGCUCGGGCGCUCACCCGAAGCCCGGCGCCAGCCCCGUGCCCCGUCGGCAACGUCUCCUUGUCCUCCCCUCCCUCCCUGCAGCAGGAUGCUUCCUGUGGCUGCUGGCCUUCGUGCCGCCCGGCGCCGCCGUCCUCGCCUUGAUGUGGUGGGCAGCCCGGCUGCGCCGAAGGCCGGCCCGCGCGGUGCUGAGACGGGGCCCGGAGCCCGAGUGCGAGUACGCGGCGCUGGGGCACUGAGAAGCCCUUUCCCCGCGCCCGCCCUGCCAGAAGCCGCUCACGCCUGCGGUCUGCGAGCAGCGAAAACAAGAGAGGAAAGGGAAAGUGGUGGGAUCCUGCGCUCUGCUGCAUUUCCCUGCUGGGCUGCAUGGCAGAGGGGGAGGAGGAACGCUGAGAGCGCUGCGGGAAGCUCGAUGGCCAUGAGAAAUUGCAUGGAAAUAAUAAAAUCAUGAUUUCUUGGUAAGCAACCGAGGUCUCAGCUUCAUUGGGAUUGCUCCCUGUGCUACCCCGUGUGACAGCCACGGGGAGCUGCUGUUAAACAGGGCAAAAGAAAAGUCCCUUUACACCUCGAGCCUUAAGCACAGCCCUGUUUUAGCCCCUCCUCUCUGCAUUUUGCUUCCUGAAGGGCGACCUUGCACCGUGUGCCGGCUCCGAGGAUGCUCCCCGUGCUCUCAGCACCUUCCCUGUCUGUGGCUGUGUGCAUAACCCCGUGCUGGGGCAUCCCGGCUCCCCUGGCUUUAGGGUUUACCACAACCUCCCCUUCCCCUCCACACGCGUGCUGCUGCUCCUGUGGCUGGGACACGAACCCCAAGGGGAAACCCCUGAGCGACGGAGCCAAAACUUGCGGUGCCCCCAUGGGCUGUGCUGGCCCCUCGGCAUCAGCCGGACGCGCGUGGCUGGAGGAGCAUCUCCAUGGGGAGGGGAAGGGAAGCGAAGCCGCAUUCCAGCCUGGGAGCCAGCUCUGU